GACAGAGGUGCCGAGCGUUAGGCGGAAUCACUGGGCUUAAAGCGUGUGUAGGCGGACUUCUAAGUACCUUGUGAAAUCCCACGGCUCAACCGUGGAACUGCUCGGUAUACUGGUUGUCUUGAGCCACGUAGGGGCAGUCGGAACAGAUGGUGGAGCGGUGAAAUGCGUAGAUAUCGGGAGGAACACCGGUGGCGAAGGCGGUUCUCUGGGCCUUACCUGACGCUGAGGAGCGAAAGCGUGGGGAGCGAACAGG
rnacentral:rRNA from 1 species